rnacentral:lncRNA from 1 species
AAAUAUAAUUGAUAUAAUUGAUACAAAUAGCAUUGAAAAGAAAUGGAAAAUCCUUCAAGAUUAUACUUUGGCUCUAUUUAUCUUUCACAGGUAAAAAGCAUAAACUCUGUGUAUGCUGUGUUCAUCCAAAUAUGUUACAGGAAACAACUCAUGUUUGCCUUUUUCUUGGUGAAGCUGGUGGACUUCUGAUGGACUGGCUUCACUGGACUUCUGAAGCUUYGGUGGAAGGACUUCUGAGCUGUGUUAGCCACUCAUUACAUGCAAAUAAAGUAAAGUGCAGGGAARUGUAA